rnacentral:rRNA from 1 species
CCUACGGGUGGCAGCAGUGAGGAAUAUUGGUCAAUGGGCGGAAGCCUGAACCAGCCAAGUAGCGUGCAGGAUGACGGCCCUACGGGUUGUAAACUGCUUUUAUACGGGAAUAACGCGCCUUACGUGUAGGGCUUUGCAUGUACCGUAUGAAUAAGGACCGGCUAAUUCCGUGCCAGCAGCCGCGGUAAUACGGAGGGUCCGGGCGUUAUCCGGAUUUAUUGGGUGUAAAGGGCGCGUAGGCCGCCUGUCAAGCGUGGUGUGAACUGCCCGGGCUCACCCCGGGCCGGGCAGCGCGAACUGGCGGGCUGGAGUGCGCGGAAGGCAGGCGGAAUGCGUGGUGUAGCGGUGAAAUGCGUAGAUAUUGGGAGGAAC